UGGGGAAUAUUGGACAAUGGGGCAACCCUGAUCCAGCAAUGCCGCGUGUGUGAAGAAGGUCUUCGGAUUGUAAAGCACUUUCGACGGGGACGAUGAUGACGGUACCCGUAGAAGAAGCCCCGGCUAACUUCGUGCCAGCAGCCGCGGUAAUACGAAGGGGGCUAGCGUUGCUCGGAAUGACUGGGCGUAAAGGGCGUGUAGGCGGUUUACACAGUCAGAUGUGAAAUCCCCGGGCUUAACCUGGGAGCUGCAUUUGAUACGUGUAGACUAGAGUGUGAGAGAGGGUUGUGGAAUUCCCAGUGUAGAGGUGAAAUUCGUAGAUAUUGGGAAGAACACCGGUGGCGAAGGCGGCAACCUGGCUCAUGACUGACGCUGAGGCGCGAAAGCGUGGGGAGCAAACAGGAUUAGAUACCCUGGUAGUCCACGCUGUAAACGAUGUGUGCUAGAUGUUGGGUAACUUUGUUAUUCAGUGUCGCAGUUAACGCGUUAAGCACACCGCCUGGGGAGUAC
rnacentral:rRNA from 1 species